rnacentral:rRNA from 1 species
GAUGAACGCUGGCGGCGUGCCUAACACAUGCAAGUCGAACGGUUAAGGCGGCUUCGGCCGCGAAUAAAGUGGCGAACGGGUGAGUAGCGCGUGACCGACCUUCCCCCCGCACCGGGACAACCGCGGGAAACCGCGGCUGAUACCGGGUACUCCGGGGCCCUCGCAUGGGGGCCCCGGGAAAGCUCCGGCGGCGGGGGAUGGGGUCGCGUCCCAUCAGGUAGUAGGCGGGGCAACGGCCCACCUAGCCGACGACGGGUAGCCGGGUUGAGAGACCGACCGGCCACAUUGGGACUGAGAUACGGCCCAGACUCCUACGGGAGGCAGCAGUGGGGAAUUUUGCGCAAUGGGGGCAACCCUGACGCAGCAACGCCGCGUGCGGGACGACGGCCUUCGGGUUGUAAACCGCUUUCAGCAGGGAAGAACCUAAGACGGUACCUGCAGAAGAAGCCCCGGCUAACUACGUGCCAGCCGCCGUAAUAC